UCAGGACACUGGGUCCCCUUGGAGCCUCCCCAGGCUUAAUGAUUGUCCAGAAGGCGGCUAUAAAGGGAGCCUGGGAGGCUGGGUGGAGGAGGGAGCAGAAAAAACCCAACUCAGCAGAUCUGGGAACUGUGAGAGCGGCAAGCAGGAACUGUGGUCAGAGGCUGUGCGUCUUGGCUGGUAGGGCCUGCUCUUUUCUACCAUGGCAGCCCAGGGCUAUGGCUAUUAUCGCACUGUGAUCUUCUCAGCCAUGUUUGGGGGCUACAGCCUGUAUUACUUCAAUCGCAAGACCUUCUCCUUUGUCAUGCCAUCAUUGGUGGAAGAGAUCCCUUUGGACAAGGAUGAUUUGGGAGGGACAAGGUCCCUGACUCCAAUCCUGAGCCCUUUGCCCCAUGUUGGGUGGUGGAGCAACAGAACUGCUAGAGGCCCGGGACUGGCAUCCAGAGUGAGGGUUCAUCACCAGCAGCCAGUCGGCAGCUUAUGCUAUCAGCAAGUUUGUCAGUGGGGUGCUGUCUGACCAGAUGAGUGCUCGCUGGCUCUUCUCUUCUGGGCUGCUCCUGGUUGGCCUGGUCAACAUAUUCUUUGCCUGGAGCUCCACAGUACCUGUCUUUGCUGCCCUCUGGUUCCUUAAUGGCCUGGCCCAGGGGCUGGGCUGGCCCCCAUGUGGGAAGGUCCUGCGGAAGUGGUUUGAGCCAUCUCAGUUUGGCACUUGGUGGGCCAUCCUGUCAACCAGCAUGAACCUGGCUGGAGGGCUGGGCCCUAUCCUGGCAACCAUCCUUGCCCAGAGCUACAGCUGGCGCAGCACGCUGGCCCUAUCUGGGGCACUGUGGUGUGGUUGUCUCCUUCCUCUGUCUCCUGCUCAUCCACAAUGAACCUGCUGAUGUUGGACUCCGCAACCUGGACCCCAUGCCCUCUGAGGGCAAGAAGGGCUCCUUGAAGGAGGAGAGCACCCUGCAGGAGCUGCUGCUGUCCCCUUACCUGUGGGUGCUCUCCACUGGUUACCUUGUGGUGUUUGGAGUAAAGACCUGCUGUACUGACUGGGGCCAGUUCUUCCUUAUCCAGGAGAAAGGACAGUCAGCCCUUGUAGGUAAGAUGAGCAUGGGGACAAGGGUGGGCAUAAGGAGCAGGAACCAAUGCAGGGGAUGCAAAUUCAGGCCUUGCUUCCAUUUAUCCUCUUUAUUCGUUCCUUGAGGCCGGGCGCUACUCAGGCAGCUAUGGCCAGUCACCUAUGGGAACCCUGUACCUCUCCAGGUUUAAGCCAUUGUGGGACAACCCCAAUGUGUAACACCCUCCCACCCUUCCCUUCCCUCUUCCCACCACAACUCCCUACUGCAGGUAGCUCCUACAUGAGUGCCCUG
rnacentral:lncRNA from 1 species